rnacentral:rRNA from 1 species
CGUGUAGGCGGCACGGCAUGUCGGAUGUGAAAUCCCAUGGCUCAACCAUGGAAGUGCACCCGAAACUGCCGAGCUCGAGUCUCGGAGAGGAAGGUGGAAUGCUUGGUGUAGAGGUGAAAUUCGUAGAUAUCAAGCGGAACACCGGUGGCGAAGGCGGCCUUCUGGACGAUGACUGACGCUGAGACGCGAAGCGUGGGAGCAAACA